AUUCUUUUAUCUGAAAACUUGAUUUUCGAUUUUGAUGAAGUGACUGAAGUGAAAUGACAACUUCACCAAACUUCACUUUAAUAUGUUUUUCUAUCAUCUCUCAAAAUGAAACCACUGAAAACUAUGUAGUUCAUAUGCCAAGCCAGUAAGUGGCGCUGUAACGCUGCACAGGAAAUGCACAAAAGACAGAAGAAGAGUACAGAGCAUGUGUAUAAAGGUUGUUUUGGCGCCAUAAAAGAGUUACUCUGUGUGUCACAUGAUCGUUUCCAAAGAUGCAGAUAGACAUCCACACGGAGAUGAAAUGGUCGUCGUUUACGGAUUUAUUCACUCUCUGACCCG